rnacentral:rRNA from 1 species
UCGAGCGGACAGAUGGGAGCUUGCUCCCUGAUGUUAGCGGCGGACGGGUGAGUAACACGUGGGUAACCUGCCUGUAAGACUGGGAUAACUCCGGGAAACCGGGGCUAAUACCGGAUGCUUGUUUGAACCGCAUGGUUCAAACAUAAAAGGUGGCUUCGGCUACCACUUACAGAUGGACCCGCGGCGCAUUAGCUAGUUGGUGAGGUAAUGGCUCACCAAGGCAACGAUGCGUAGCCGACCUGAGAGGGUGAUCGGCCACACUGGGACUGAGACACGGCCCAGACUCCUACGGGAGGCAGCAGUAGGGAAUCUUCCGCAAUGGACGAAAGUCUGACGGAGCAACGCCGCGUGAGUGAUGAAGGUUUUCGGAUCGUAAAGCUCUGUUGUUAGGGAAGAACAAGUACCGUUCGAAUAGGGCGGUACCUUGACGGUACCUAACCAGAAAGCCACGGCUAACUACGUGCCAGCAGCCGCGGUAAUACGUAGGUGGCAAGCGUUGUCCGGAAUUAUUGGGCGUAAAGGGCUCGCAGCGGUUUCUUUAAGUCUGAUGUGAAAGCCCCCGGCUCAACCGGGGAGGGUCAUUGGAAACUGGGGAACUUGAGUGCA